CAGGAUGAACGCUGGCGGCGUGCCUAAUACAUGCAAGUCGAGCGAACAGACGAGGAGCUUGCUCCUCUGACGUUAGCGGCGGACGGGUGAGUAACACGUGGAUAACCUACCUAUAAGACUGGGAUAACUUCGGGAAACCGGAGCUAAUACCGGAUAAWAUAUUGAACCGCAUGGUUCAAUAGUGAAAGACGGUUUUGCUGUCACUUAUAGAUGGAUCCGCGCCGCAUUAGCUAGUUGGUAAGGUAACGGCUUACCAAGGCAACGAUGCGUAGCCGACCUGAGAGGGUGAUCGGCCACACUGGAACUGAGACACGGUCCAGACUCCUACGGGAGGCAGCAGUAGGGAAUCUUCCGCAAUGGGCGAAAGCCUGACGGAGCAACGCCGCGUGAGUGAUGAAGGUCUUCGGAUCGUAAAACUCUGUUAUUAGGGAAGAACAAAUGUGUAAGUAACUAUGCACGUCUUGACGGU
rnacentral:rRNA from 1 species